rnacentral:tRNA from 1 species
GCGCGGUUAGCUCAGUUGGUAGAGCACUCCCUUGACGUGGGAGGGGCCGGGGGUUCGAGUCCCUCACCGCGCA